AGAGUUUGAUCCUGGCUCAGAAUAAACGCUGGCGGCGUGCUUAACACAUGCAAGUCGAGCGAGAAAGGUCUUCGGACUGAGUAAAGCGGCAAACGGGUGAGUAACACGUAGGAAUCUGCCUUUCAGUGAGGAAUACCCUCGAGAAAUCGAGGUUAAUACUGCAUACGUCUCGAAAGAGAGAAAGAUGGCCUCUUUGCUGU
rnacentral:rRNA from 1 species